rnacentral:lncRNA from 1 species
GAGAUGACUUCUCUUUAUGUAAUCUCCAUGCUUUCUAGAAGUUAUUAUCAAAAUCCAAUGUUGAUCUCCCAAGCCCACUUUAGAAGAAAACAGUGAAACGUGAUCAGAGCAGUUAAAAGCAGAGGCUCCCGCGUGAGACAGGUCUGUCCCAGCAGCUGUGUGUCCCCAGACAACUCACUUCACCUCUCUGAGCCAGAGGAGACAGGCAACGCCUGAGUAUUGGGUGUCCUUACCACCACCAGGAAUGAAAGAUGCCCAAUAACCCGGUGUGUCCAAGAAAACUGCAACUUGGGAUGGGCCACCUACAAGGUGAUGAGCUGUAUCCUGGUGACCAGGCUGUUUUUCUGGAAGCAUGGGCACCCUUGGCCUUGUCUCUGUGCCUGCUCCUUAGCUGGCCCUCCCUUCCCUCCCCUUCCUCACACUGAGGCAAUGCCCAGCUGGCAGCACCCCACCCAGGCUGCACGGGCACUGAGUGUGACAGCAUCUGUCACCAUGGCAGGGAGCUGGCAAGCCUGAAUCACUGGCCUGGGCCAGGGUCCUCAGAGCCCAAGAGGCAGGAGAUGGGAGGGGGUGGAGGCUGGAGCAGGGACCCACCUCUCCUCCUUCGGUAUAUUUCAUAUCACAGAUGUUUCCCAGGAGUGUAAAACAGAAUUCACCUUUUCUGCUCCCACACCUGCCCCAUCUCAGUGAUGGUACCUCUUUCCACCUCUUGUGUCAGCCAGAAUCCAGGGGUCAUCUCCUCUGUCCCUCAGCUCCCACAGCUAGGCAAGCCCCAAGUCUCUCCACGCUGGACUCUGAAAUUGUUUGCUCAGGACACUAGUGAUCUUGGAUUAAUGCCCAUUUUAAUGACCUCAUUUUACCUUAAUUACUUUUAAAGGCCCUAUCCUCAAACACAGGCACUUUCUGAGACACUGAGAAUUCAGACUUCCACAUGUGAAUUUUGAGGGCACGCAACUCAGUCCCUAACAGACUCAAAUCCCCUACCUUCCCCGUGCUCACAGCCCCUGUCCUCACAGCCUGGCCUCAUCCUCGUGCUCUGACUCCCUCUGCUCACCCCUCCAGCCCACUCACCCCCUGCAGGCACCCUGAUCUGAUCGUGUCAUUCUCCUGGUGAAAACUUGAAAACUUGCCCUGUUGAAAAAUUGUGCUGGCCCCUACCUGCUUCUCCAGUCUCAGCUCAGUCUCACCACCCACCUGCCCAAUACCCAUCACCCCAAAAUCAGGAGCGAGUAAAUUUGCUAGCAAUUUAGCAAAGCCUACCCUACACAGGGGCUGGUCUAAGCUCUUCAGAUGGUUUAUCUGAGUUAAUCCUCAUCAACCCUAUGGUUGACGCUGUCAUUAUCUCUAUUUAAUAGAGGUAGGUGCUGUCAUUAUCUCUACUUAAUAGAUGAAGACACUGAGGCAUAUAAAAAGUCAAAAAUUUGCUGAAGAGCAUACAGCCAAGGUGUGUAAAGCAGGACUCAAACGAAGGCCGUCUGCCUACACAACCAUGCUCCUGACAUCUGCACUCAAUGUGUUAAGCUGUCUCAGCCUCUGCGCUCUGGCUCAGCUCUUCCUGCUGCCUGGAAUGUCUUUCCAUUCCUGCUCUGCCUCACAAACUUGUACGCAUGCUUCAAAACCCAUCUCAGCCUUCCCUUGGAUGAUAGCCUUUGUUCUAUGCUGUGCCUACUCACCAUAGAGCACCCACCAGUCAUAGUUUGAGGCAGUCGUUGGGGACAUGUCCAUCACCCUCAGGACAGGCACCAGAUCUGAUCCAUCUCUACAUUCCCCCCGCUAGGGGUGGGCCAAGCCCAGAGGCCAACACCAGUGAACGGAUGAGUGAAUGAACAAAGGAGUGAAUGAACAAAGGAGUGAAUGAAUGCCUCGUCACAUACAGAUCGUUAAUCUGGGCCUACCUUUGAGGAUAGAUUCCAAUUCUUUAUUAAAAGACCCAGAUAUCAGACUUCCCGUCAUGGCUCAGUGGUUAACGAACCCGACCAGUGUCCAUGAGGACAUGGGUUUGAUCCCUGGCCUUGCUCAGCGAGUUAAGGAUCUGGUGUUGCUGUGAGCUGUGGUGUAGGUCGCAGACUUGGCUCAGAUCCCACGUUGCUGUGGCUCUGGUGUAGGCUGGGAGCUGAGGCUCCAACUGGACCCCUAGCCUGGGAACUUCCAUAUGCCGCGGGUGCAGCCCUAAAAAGACAAAAAGACAAAAACAAAAACCAAACACACACACAAACAAAAAAGAGCCAGGUGUUUCAAAUGCCUCAAAUUUCUGCUUUUGGAGAAAAAGAAAGUAAAACACAAAUACAUGUAUAAUUUUCUCAUGGAAAUUUACCUUUUUUGCCCCAUUUUUAUUCCUGACCCCAGUACAGCUUUUGGGCCUUUGUAAAAAAUUUAUACUUGCUCUCCGAAGGCAGGAAGAGGUUAUCUAAAGCUCCAGGAGCUCGCCUCUGCUUCGAGAUCAGGAGAGAGAGAAAAUAACACAAGGGAAGGAGAAAGUCUUAGCGCCCCAUGGGUUCCUUCCACAUCCAAAGAGUUGCAAAUGAUGUUUUCUUUGUUUAAAAAAAUCAUAAUAAAGUAUUUGUUUUUAUAAAAAUGACCCAGCUCGUUGUAAGAUUGAAUAAGAUUUAACCCCCCCAGAAAAGGACAGAAAGGAAAAUUAAAUUACUCCAUAUCACACCUCCCAGCUGCUUACACCAGUGUAUCAUUUGCAGUCAUCAAGUUACGCCUAAGAUGUGAGCACUCUGCUGUGUGUGUUAUAUUUUAAUAAAAAUCUCACCGCCCAAAGAAGGCUCUUGAUAUCAUCUUCCAGACCUCACAUCUGCUUUUUGUAACAUCCUGACACUUGUGUCUAGCCAAUAACUCUUUCUUGAGUACCUACUCUGUGCCAGGCUCUGACUGGGUCCUGGGAUUAGAGGGUGGAGCUGCCUCUAACCGGCGGACUUUAACCAAAUAAUGACAUGCAUAACUAUUUAGCUACAACUGUAG